AUUGAACGCUGGCGGCAUGCCUUACACAUGCAAGUCGAACGGUAACAGGUCUUCGGAUGCUGACGAGUGGCGAACGGGUGAGUAAUACAUCGGAACGUGCCCGAGAGUGGGGGAUAACGAGGCGAAAGCUUUGCUAAUACCGCAUACGAUCUCAGGAUGAAAGCAGGGGACCGCAAGGCCUUGCGCUCACGGAGCGGCCGAUGGCAGAUUAGGUAGUUGGUGGGAUAAAAGCUUACCAAGCCGACGAUCUGUAGCUGGUCUGAGAGGACGACCAGCCACACUGGGACUGAGACACGGCCCAGACUCCUACGGGAGGCAGCAGUGGGGAAUUUUGGACAAUGGGCGCAAGCCUGAUUCAGCCAUGCCGCGUGCAGGAUGAAGGCCUUCGGGUUGUAAACUGCUUUUGUACGGAACGAAAAGACUCUGGUUAAUACCUGGGGUCCAUGACGGUACCGUAAGAAUAAGCACCGGCUAACUACGUGCCAGCCGCCGCUGUAAGAC
rnacentral:rRNA from 1 species